GAUGAACGCUGGCGGCGUGACUAAUACAUGCAAGUCGAGCGAGCGGACGAGAAGCUUGCUUCUCUGAUGUUAGCGGCGGACGGGUGAGUAACACGUGGAUAACCUACCUAUAAGACUGGGAUAACUUCGGGAAACCGGAGCUAAUACCGGAUAAUAUUUUGAACCGCAUGGUUCAAAAGUGAAAGACGGUCUUGCUGUCACUUAUAGAUGGAUCCGCGCUGCAUUAGCUAGUUGGUAAGGUAACGGCUUACCAAGGCAACGAUGCAUAGCCGACCUGAGAGGGUGAUCGGCCACACUGGAACUGAGACACGGUCCAGACUCCUACGGGAGGCAGCAGUAGGGAAUCUUCCGCAAUGGGCGAAAGCCUGACGGAGCAACGCCGCGUGAGUGAUGAAGGUCUUCGGAUCGUAAAACUCUGUUAUUAGGGAAGAACAUAUGUGUAAGUAACUGUGCACAUCUUGACGGUACCUAAUCAGAAAGCCACGGCUAACUACGUG
rnacentral:rRNA from 1 species